UACGUAGGGUGCGAGCGUUAAUCGGAAUUACUGGGCGUAAAGCGUGCGCAGGCGGUGAUGUAAGACAGGUGUGAAAUCCCCGGGCUUAACCUGGGAACUGCAUUUGUGACUGCAUCGCUGGAGUGCGGCAGAGGGGGAUGGAAUUCCGCGUGUAGCAGUGAAAUGCGUAGAUAUGCGGAGGAACCCCGAUGGCGAAGGCAAUCCCCUGGGCCUGCACUGACGCUCAUGCACGAAAGCGUGGGGAGCAAACAGG
rnacentral:rRNA from 1 species